UUAAAACAAUAACAUACAAAUAAUCAUAAUUUAUUUCAAUUGAAAAAUUCAAAAGAAAUAACUAUUGUGCACAAACACAAUUUAAAACAAUAACUUACAAAUAAUCAUAAUUUAUUUCAAUUGAAAAAUUCAAAAGAAAUAGCUAUUGUGCACAAACCUCUGAUAACUGUCUCUUGGCUCUGACUCAGUGUUUCCUUCCCUUUCCCUGAGUCUUUGCUAACUGAAACACACAAUUUGAAGUGUUUCAGUACUCAUUUAUACUGUUUCUAACAAUAAGGCUUAAUACUUAAUUCAUUAAAUUCUAUUAUUUCCUUAGUCAACCUAAGAUGUUGACCCUCGAUGCAUUUUAGGUGAAUUAGGUUUUAAUGUUACCAAUAUGUCACAUUUUAUAGCCUUUUAGUGUUGGUACAUGUUACCAAUUUAUUUCCAUGUAUAGUGCACUUUAGUGCAAUUUGUCGGAUUCCGGUAUACUAAUUUGACCUAACCGGAUGACCUAGUUCCCUCGAUUUUUGGGUUUCGGUCAAAACUACAAACUUGUAGAUCUAUGUCUUAUUGCACGCGGGGCAAAAUUUCAGGUUAUUCUGAGUUUACUAGACCAAGUUAUAGUCAUUUUACUAUUGCUGGUCAAAAUGCAUCAAAAUUGGUCACUUUAUGUCAUUUUAGGUCAUUUUAGGUUCGGCCAGUUUUUGGACCCGAACUUGUGCAAGCUAUUUGACUUGCUUAUGGUCAUUUUUGGGCUUUGGUGUCUUCAUAAGACUUGUAGAUAUAUGUCUCAACUAUUCAUGGUAAAAAUUUCAGGUCAAUUGGACCUGUUUUGAGUGAGUUAUGGCCAAAACACUAACUGCUGCCCAAAUGGUCAAUUUUCAGGCCUUAAAUGCACUAAUCCGGAUUUGGUCAUUUUUCAAGUUACCUUCUAAGCAGAAUUUUGGUAAGCUUCCUUCAUGAAAGUUGGCACUUUUUGUGCCUAGUUUCACCUUCAAUUGAUCUUAUACCAAUUGAAGCCACACACUUAAGGUUCUAAGCCCAAAACAUAAACUGCCCUAUGCAUUUUGUUCAUUACUCAUCAAAGGACACAUUUAACACUUACCAAGUUACACAUUCAUGCCAAUUCUGGUUUGUACCAUAACCUAAACACAUUUCACAACACAUUUUUGGUCACUUUGGCAGCUUAUAACCACACUCAAUAUGCACUUUAUAGUACAUAAUUUACCAAGUCCAAUUUACACACAAUUUAACUACAUAAUAUGGCUCAUUUACAUGUCCAAACUCAAACUCUUACAUACAUGUACAAACUGCCACAACAAGUACCAUAAUUCAACCAUACAAUUCCAUAAACCAAACCAUGAAAUAAUAUUUUUUUGGUUCACAAUUCAAGCUGCCGAUUUGUACCUCACUUUGAAUAAAGUUCCAAGCUUCCAAAUUCAAGUAUACAUUCACAUAUACUUAGUAUACAUCACCCAAUUUUUUCCUACACAUAUAAACACUUAAUCAACCCUUUAAUCUACCAUUUACAAGCAAGAAUAAACUGCCCUUAAGGAGUUUCCAUGGCUGCCAAAAAUACACAUCUCCCUUAAUACUUCAAUCUCUAAAAAUCUCUCCAUAAUUCAAGUACCCAUAACAUCCUCACAAACUUUAAUGAAGCAAUAAUCAAAAAUACAUACUUACCACUUUGGAAACUCUUCAAAACCUCUCCAAAACUUGGUCUUCUUGUUGCCUAUCUAUUGCUCAAGGUGUAUGGACAACUUUUAAUGAAGGGAAGUGGAGAGAAAGAAGCUUGGAUCACACUUGCAUGGAGCUCCAAAACCAUGCGGCAAUGGAGUUUUUCCUUUCUCCAUUUUCGGCUAGUUCUCCAAGGUUGAAGAAGAAGAUGAAUCUGCUAUCCAAAUGCAGAUUAAGUGGUCCACUUUAGUGAGUUAGUGGAGCACUAAUGCAAAUUUAAUGUUUAUUUAAUCAUAACCUUCCUUAUUCCCACAUUAAGCUCCUAACUUUAGCUAUUUAUAUUAGGUACCACUAAUUUAAGUUUUCAUGACAUUUUCCAAGUGUAAUAUCAUUUAUUUUUAAUGGACAUUUAGGUCAAAAGACAACUCGGGGUGUUAAAUGACCACAAUGCCCCUGUUCGGAUUGCAUUCCUGAUUUUUCGGUAACACCGGGGUUUCCCGCGGUCCAGGGCUAGUCAACGAUCCACGCCGCGACUUUCCGGUGCGGUCACCCAUCGCUAGGGUUCUCAGCUCGUUUAACUUGGUUACAUUUCAUUUCUAUUAUUUUUUCUUUGUUUUUCUUGUAUUUUGACCUAAUGUAUUUCGUUAUUUUAUGUCUCCUCAUCCAUAUAUAAGUGUAGUUCUAGGCAUCCUAGCUGUCCGGACAACACUGGUCACCGGAACAGUAGAACGCACUACCGAACAUAGGGGUGUUACAAAUUGUCUAUUCAAGGUUAGUGCAAGUUUUAUAACACCCCUCACCCAUCUACAGUAUAAUCGAGCAAGGUGUGCUAUAUUCGGUGCCCGAGCACCCUGUCCUGUCUUAUCGUGUACAAUAUUAAUUUAAUGUCUAUUUAAUUAUAUUAUCUUA